rnacentral:rRNA from 1 species
UACAGAGGAUGCAAGCGUUAUCCGGAAUGAUUGGGCGUAAAGCGUCUGUAGGUGGCUUUUUAAGUCCGCCGUCAAAUCCCAGGGCUCAACUCUGGACAGGCGGUGGAAACUACCAAGCUGGAGUACGGUAGGGGCAGAGGGAAUUUCCGGUGGAGCGGUGAAAUGCGCAGAGAUCGGAAAGAACACCAGCGGCGAAAGCGCUCUGCUGGGCCGACACUGACACUGAGAGACGAAAGCGAGGGGAGCAAAUGGG